ensembl:lncRNA
AUGAACAGCACAAGCGCAAACAGAAGCACAUGUCACUUUGAACUUCUUCCCUUGCUCCUCCUGGUACCACCAGCUCUGGAUCAGCCCAUGUCUUCAGACUAUUGUCUGAACAUGACAGAGUUCCCAGAACCCAUGCCUCUCACACAGCAACAGACUUGCUGCUGGGGGGGCUGCCUGGGGAAGAAACACCUGCAAGGAGCCACAGCUGCGGUGGGAGCUUCUCUCCUAAUGCUCUGUUUAGGAUUACAGCACUCCAGAGCAUCACAUUACCCCAGUGGCUGCACUGAAACCUGGUAUUAAUUCACAUUAGCAAGGAUCAGAUUUAGCAUGUUGGGAGAAGGAGGACUGUUAUUAUUUUUUUUAAAUCUGCUGGAGCAAACUCCUAGGGCUGCUCUUUCAUUGGUCAAGGCAAGGACCAGAGAAGUUUCUUUGUUCCUCCCCACCACUGGCCACUUGCCCCAUCCCCUCGUGCAUGAAUGCCUCUAAACACAGGCGUUUGUUUUCAUGGUGGCAUUAUUUACUUAUUUUCAUUUUCAAUGUGCUAAAGACAGUAACUUUCAAAGCAAAUUUAAGAAUGUUGUGGAAUUGCUUUGAAUUGCAGUGCAGCAGAACGGGAUCUUCCAAUAUUGGGAAGACAGCAAUAGAGAGGUGGCAAAUCACCUCUUGUUCAUGCCCAUGAUGGAUUAUAUACCAAGAUCAGAAAAAGGAAAAAGAGUCCAAGCAGUUAGGGCACUAACUACUUUCAGAGGUAGGCUAUGGAGACAUCAUCACUGGAUAAUACUAAAAAUCUAAGUUGGGUAAAUCUGAUGUUGUCUUUGGUAGGGACAUGCUACACACCCUUUAAAACCCUUUCUAAUGCAGCAAUUAUGAGGGUGGAGUUAGUUUUCUCACCUAAAAACUUCUGGUUGGAUUCUUUUCUUCCUUUUUCUUCCCUUUUCCUCCCCACACAAACUCCUCUUUACUGGGUGUUGUUAUGGCUGUUUCCAUCUGAGGAGUACAUAUUCCCCAGGUUUAUCUGUUGCACCUAGAGUGGGGUGUUUAGUUGUCCUUCUAUGGCCUUGUGACACCACCCUUGUGUUUUUCCAAGCAAUGGGCCAUCCUACAUACAUAUAAUUGACCCCCAAUUUCAGCUGGUGCCUCUUGAAUCCACAGGAACAUAAAUAUCAGUAGCAACAUAAUAUAGCUAUCCGUUAAAUAUCACCUGAAUGCCUUUGUAGAGCCUUGGAAUGAAUAAGAAAAAAGAAGUGGAUUUGAAUGGUAGCCUGCAGAGACUGCAAAUCCCAACCACGUUUGUUCAUUUUAUUUACAGUUUCAGAAUUAUCUUGAAAUGUCAUUAAUAUCUGCUGUGCUACAUGAUGAAUUCUUAGAUAUAGGGGGUAAACUAGAAUAGUAGAGCUGGAGACAAGACAUGAAGUCUGGUGUUGAAUACAGUGCCAGGGGUGAAGAACAAGGGGUAGCACAUCAUCUGCUGACCCUUGCAUGACAUUUCAUUGUGUAGAGAAGAGAAUACUUCUGUCGUUUGUUAGAAUGUCAACUCUGUGUAUGGAAAUCUACAGAUCAUCCAGAUUUGUAAAGCCAGAAGAAGACAUCUGAAGGUAGGAUUUCACUUCCUGUACAAACGCAGGCCAUCAAAUUUCAGCUUAUUAGCUCUCUACAGAGCCAUACUAUUUUGUUCCAGAAACUGAGCCAGGAUGAGAAAUCAAGUGCUUUGUGUGAUUCUUUAUUCACUUAAUCUGGUGAACGAUGAUUCCCUUUUCCUGCUGCCCUGGGGUGGACCCGUGCCAUCCCAAUGGGAACUGUAUGCGCUGCAGGGGAAAGUCAAUCUUCCCAGGUCUUACUGGCAUCUCAAGAUCAAAGUACUGUAAGAGCGACCAUCCAUCUUAUCUCAUACAAGCCACACUGCCAUCCUCAGAUGGCAAACAUUGCAGGCAGCUUUGUCAUCGGUCAGUUUAAGAUCAUAUUUAGGGAGUUGGAGUAACGGACUGUCAGAGCCUGUCUGUCUCUGAAAUCAGUGGAGGAAAGUAGCUGCUGCCUGUAUCUUAGUGCAUCUAUGGCAGACAGCUGGGUACAGCUCUUGUUCUUUAUUCCUCUGGUAGAUAUCUUGAGCCAUAAGUAGGUCUCCCACUGAUGGUGUGUUUUCAGCACUGUUGCUUUCCCACUCUCUCUGUGUUCUGACACCCAAAUUUAUUGAUGUUCAUUUUAAUUUUUCUUGGAAAGAAAAAAAAAAGGGAAGGAAAAUCCUACCUUCAAUAUGCACAGGUUUAGAGGGCUCCUGGGAUUACACUUUUGUGUGCACAAGCUGAAGGCAAGACUGCCAAAUUGAUUUAUCUCUUCCGUGUGUUAUCAUGCUCAUACAGGGCAGAAUUAAUGGGCUCCUGAUAGUCACACACAGUGCAGCCUCUCAAUGGCCGUUCUCUCUGGGAAACUCCAGAUACUUCUGAAAAACCCUGGAAUUAAUUAGAUGUCUCCAGGAAAAUCCAAGCAGUUAGAGAACUCUUGGGGCUGCCCAGGUGUGUUUGUUGAACCUGAGCUUGGAUACAUCCAAAAACUCAUGCCUACCCCCUGUUAUACAGAUCUCUCUUGUUUGCAGGGCAGAGGGACCAACAGAAGUGGUUAGUCAUUAGUGGGGAGUACUUUUCUCUCAGACAACGUCAGGCACAACAAGGCUUUAAACCUUCCUGCUGGUGGAUAUUGAUGAGUUUGUGGAAAAGUAUUCCUGGGACAAGAAUGGAGUUCAGAAGAUAGCACUGAGGGAGCUUUUCCAAUGAAACAUAACUGCAGUUGCUCCUGAUCAUUUACGAUCACUUGGCAUUUUGUGCAGGAGGAGUAGACGACCAAUCGGUGGGUAUAAUUCUUGCUAGAUCGGUUACUUUGCUUCUGCUUAAUUUUCCACGUUCACUGUCAGCACAUGGCUUUUCUCCUUCCUUUCCUGAGCUUUUGUAAACAUUGUGCUGUGAACAGUGACUUCUACUCCUCCCUAACUUUCAUCAGGGAGCAAAUACCUCCCUGAUAUGCCUCUUGGCUGCAUUUGCUUAGAAUGAAAGAUGUUGGGGCAUUGUCUCAUACCAAGCAAUGCUAACAAAGAAAACAAAAAGGAACUUCUGUAAAAAAAACAGAGCAGAAAGAAAAAAAAAAAAGACAAAACAAAUUCCCCUGAAAAAAACCACAACUCCCUAAAUAAAACUACUGCAGAAAGAGUUAGUUAGCA